AAUCCAUAGGUUAAUGAGGCGAACCGGGGGAACUGAAACAUCUAAGUACCCCGAGGAAAAGAAAUCAACCGAGAUUCCCCCAGUAGCGGCGAGCGAACGGGGAGGAGCCCAGAGCCUGAAUCAGCAUGUGUGUUAGUGGAAGCGUCUGGAAAGGCGCGCGAUACAGGGUGACAGCCCCGUACACAAAAGCGCAUGUGCUGUGAGCUCGAUGAGUAGGGCGGGACACGUGGUAUCCUGUCUGAAUAUGGGGGGACCAUCCUCCAAGGCUAAAUACUCCUGACUGACCGAUAGUGAACCAGUACCGUGAGGGAAAGGCGAAAAGAACCCCGGCGAGGGGAGUGAAAAAGAACCUGAAACCGUGUACGUACAAGCAGUGGGAGCACAGGUUUACCUGUGUGACUGCGUACCUUUUGUAUAAUGGGUCAGCGACUUAUAUUCUGUAGCAAGGUUAACCGAAUAGGGGAGCCGGAGGGAAACCGAGUCUUAAUUGGGCGUUAAGUUGCAGGGUAUAGACCCGAAACCCGGUGAUCUAGCCAUGGGCAGGUUGAAGGUUGGGUAACACUAACUGGAGGACCGAACCGACUAAUGUUGAAAAAUUAGCGGAUGACCUGUGGCUGGGGGUGAAAGGCCAAUCAAACCGGGAGAUAGCUGGUUCUCCCCGAAAGCUAUUUAGGUAGCGCCUCGUGAAUUCAUCUCCGGGGGUAGAGCACUGUUUCGGCUAGGGGGCCAUCCCGGCUUACCAACCCGAUGCAAACUGCGAAUACCGGAGAAUGUUAUCACGGGAGACACACGGCGGGUGCUAACGUCCGUCGUGAAGAGGGAAACAACCCAGACCGCCAGCUAAGGUCCCAAAGUCAUGGUUAAGUGGGAAACGAUGUGGGAAGGCCCAGACAGCCAGGAUGUUGGCUUAGAAGCAGCCAUCAUUUAAAGAAAGCGUAAUAGCUCACUGGUCGAGUCGGCCUGCGCGGAAGAUGUAACGGGGCUAAACCAUGCACCGAAGCUGCGGCAGCGAACGUAUCACCCAAGACAACUUUGCGGAGUUGACGAUUGACGGAGCGAAGCGACGUCAAAGCGUUCAUUAAAGUCGAGUUGGCUUAGGGAUACGUUCGUUGGGUAGGGGAGCGUUCUGUAAGCCUGUGAAGGUGGCCUGUGAGGGUUGCUGGAGGUAUCAGAAGUGCGAAUGCUGACAUAAGUAACGAUAAAGCGGGUGAAAAGCCCGCUCGCCGGAAGACCAAGGGUUCCUGUCCAACGUUAAUCGGGGCAGGGUGAGUCGACCCCUAAGGCGAGGCCGAAAGGCGUAGUCGAUGGGAAACGGGUUAAUAUUCCCGUACUUGGUGUUACUGCGAAGGGGGGACGGAGAAGGCUAUGUUGGCCGGGCGACGGUUGUCCCGGUUUAAGCGUGUAGGUGUGUGUUCCAGGUAAAUCCGGUUCACUUUAACACUGAGGCGUGACGACGAGGCACUACGGUGCUGAAGCAACAAAUGCCCUGCUUCCAGGAAAAGCCUCUAAGCAUCAGGUAACAUCAAAUCGUACCCCAAACCGACACAGGUGGUCAGGUAGAGAAUACCAAGGCGCUUGAGAGAACUCGGGUGAAGGAACUAGGCAAAAUGGUGCCGUAACUUCGGGAGAAGGCACGCUGAUAUGUAGGUGAAGCGGUUUACCCGUGGAGCUGAAAUCAGUCGAAGAUACCAGCUGGCUGCAACUGUUUAUUAAAAACACAGCACUGUGCAAACACGAAAGUGGACGUAUACGGUGUGACGCCUGCCCGGUGCCGGAAGGUUAAUUGAUGGGGUCAGCGCAAGCGAAGCUCCUGAUCGAAGCCCCGGUAAACGGCGGCCGUAACUAUAACGGUCCUAAGGUAGCGAAAUUCCUUGUCGGGUAAGUUCCGACCUGCACGAAUGGCGUAAUGAUGGCCAGGCUGUCUCCACCCGAGACUCAGUGAAAUUGAACUCGCUGUGAAGAUGCAGUGUACCCGCGGCAAGACGGAAAGACCCCGUGAACCUUUACUAUAGCUUGACACUGAACAUUGAGCCUUGAUGUGUAGGAUAGGUGGGAGGCUUUGAAGCGUGGACGCCAGUCUGCGUGGAGCCGACCUUGAAAUACCACCCUUUAAUGUUUGAUGUUCUAACGUGGACCCGUAAUCCGGGUUGCGGACAGUGUCUGGUGGGUAGUUUGACUGGGGCGGUCUCCUCCUAAAGAGUAACGGAGGAGCACGAAGGUUGGCUAAUCCUGGUCGGACAUCAGGAGGUUAGUGCAAUGGCAUAAGCCAGCUUGACUGCGAGCGUGACGGCGCGAGCAGGUGCGAAAGCAGGUCAUAGUGAUCCGGUGGUUCUGAAUGGAAGGGCCAUCGCUCAACGGAUAAAAGGUACUCCGGGGAUAACAGGCUGAUACCGCCCAAGAGUUCAUAUCGACGGCGGUGUUUGGCACCUCGAUGUCGGCUCAUCACAUCCUGGGGCUGAAGUAGGUCCCAAGGGUAUGGCUGUUCGCCAUUUAAAGUGGUACGCGAGCUGGGUUUAGAACGUCGUGAGACAGUUCGGUCCCUAUCUGCCGUGGGCGCUGGAGAACUGAGGGGGGCUGCUCCUAGUACGAGAGGACCGGAGUGGACGCAUCACUGGUGUUCGGGUUGUCAUGCCAAUGGCACUGCCCGGUAGCUAAAUGCGGAAGAGAUAAGUGCUGAAAGCAUCUAAGCACGAAACUUGCCCCGA
rnacentral:rRNA from 1 species